rnacentral:rRNA from 1 species
UACAGAGGGUGCAAGCGUUAAUCGGAAUUACUGGGCGUAAAGCGUGCGUAGACGGUUGCGUAAGUCAGAUGUGAAAGCCCCGGGCUCAACCUGGGAAUUGCAUUUGAGACUGCGUAGCUAGGGUGCGGAAGAGGGAAGCGGAAUUUCCGGUGUAGCGGUGAAAUGCGUAGAUAUUGGAAGGAACACCAGUGGCGAAAGCGGCUUCCUGGUCCAGCACCGACGUUCAGGCACGAAAGCGUGGGGAGCAAACAGG